rnacentral:rRNA from 1 species
AUGGACUUUGACCUGCUGUUGAGCUCCAGCCCCGAGGCGCAGCUCGCGCUGAUGAACACCAUGCUCCAGCUCGAGCAGGCGCUCAACGACCAGUCGCUGAUGAUGGCGGAGGCGUCGCCGCCGAUAUCGCCCGUGCAGACCCCUUCGCACAGCCUCUCGCCUCCGCCGCACGUGUCCACGGCCUGCGCGGCCGCCGACGCCGGCUAUUUUUACCAUCAGGACCUGCAUGCCCAGGCCGCCCCGGCGGGCUACGCCGGCACCGGCGGCGUGCACCAGGAAUACGUGGUGUCCCCGGGCGCCGCCGUCUUCGACGGCGCCGGCGGCGCGCCGCAGGGUUACUCGUCCCCGUCCUCGUCGGACGCGAUGCGGGAGAUGAUCUUCCACAUCGCGGCGCUGCAGCCGGUGGAGGUCGACCCGGAGGCGGUGCGCCCGCCGAAGCGCCGCAACGUGCGGACCUCCAAGGACCCGCAGAGCGUGGCGGCGAGGCUGCGGCGGGAGCGCAUCAGCGAGCGCAUCCGCGUCCUGCAGCGCCUCGUCCCCGGCGGCACCAAGAUGGACACCGCCUCCAUGCUCGACGAGGCCAUCCACUACGUCAAGUUCCUCAAGUCCCAGGUGCAGUCGCUCGAGCUCGCCGCCGCCGCCACCGGCGCGGCCGCCCACCGCGCCGCUGCCUUCGCCUACCCCGCCAUGCAGCACGCGCCGUGGUAG